CAAACUCCGCGAGGUAUUAACCCGCACUGGGCGGAGCGGGGACCGGAACUUCCGACUACGCACUUCCGCUUCCGGUGUUUAGCGUUGACUCUUGCCCCGGCUCUGCCUUCAAGCGAGGAGGUUGUGGUAUCGGCUGGUUCCCAGCGAUUCGAGACAGGAUGAUCGAGGUUGUUUGCAACGACCGUCUGGGGAAGAAGGUCCGCGUUAAGUGCAACACUGAUGACACCAUCGGGGACCUUAAGAAGCUGAUUGCAGCCCAAACUGGCACCCGCUGGAACAAGAUCGUAUUGAAGAAGUGGUACACGAUUUUUAAGGACCACGUGUCUCUGGGGGACUAUGAAAUCCAUGAUGGGAUGAACCUGGAGCUUUAUUACCAGUAGAGCAGAAUUCCUUCUUCCUGCUCCCCUGUGGCCUCCUCUCUUCUCCCAUCCCCACUCCCCCAUGCUAGUAUGGAUGCUUGUUUUAAAAAACUCAUGUUAAUAAAAAGUUGGAGCCUG